AUUGUCAAUCAGUGUUGCUUCCUAAGUGGACAGUUUGAUUUCACAGAAGUGUGAUUGACUUGGAGUUACAUUGUGUUGUUUAAGUGUUCCCUUUAUUUUUUUGAGCAGUGUAUAUACUCCACUUUAGGCACUCCUCCCUCUCUCCAAUCCUUCAGGGGAUCUGACCUGACCUCCUGACCUCAACCCCUCCUUCCCCUAAUCCACAGAUGUCCUCUCUCUUAUCACCUAUCACACUCCCGUGACUCCCUCCCGUCCACCCAGCACAUUUCAUAGCCACUCUCUCUUUCUACAGAGAACCAUUAACUUCUCACUCCUUUAUAUACUAUGCGUCUGAUCUAUCAUGUCUUUAAUAUCUCAAUGUUCAAAGUUUAGCCCGAAUCCAACACCUCGUUAAAUUAAAAAUGAACAAAUACCUCCACUACUACUACUGCUACUACUACUACUACCACCACUACUGCUACCACUACUAUUACUACUACUACUACUACUACUACUACUACUACUACUACUACCACCACUACUACUGCCACUAGUACAACUGCUACUACUGCUACUACUACUACUGAUACUGCUACUACUACUGAUGCUACUACGACUGAUAUUACUACUACUACUGAUACUUCUAUUACUACUAUUACUACCUGUACCACAGGGGUCUCCAACAGGUCGAUCAUGAGCUACCAGUAUCUCGCCAAACAAUUCUGAAAGUACUUGCCGUUUUCACGUGUUCCACCACAAACUGUCAUUAACAAAUCUCACAAGUAUCAGACAGCGCAAGCUACUAUCUCAUCAACUCUACAUUGACAUUAUCCCACCUCUGGUUAGCCACAAUUGGCUUAAGAAGCCAAACCUAACACAUUGUCUGGCAAUUAAUUUCCAGCAAUAUUACUUCAACUAAUACUACUACCACUACUACUACCACUACUACUACUACUACUGCUGCUACUAUCAUUGCUACUGCUACUACUACUACUACUACUAGGUGGAAUCCUCUUAGUUUUUAAACUAAAAUCACUAUGUUUGCCAGGGUCCAGCAGAAGAGACCAGACUCACCUGAACCCAGCUGUGUAUCCAUGAAGAGUGACUCAUCUAUGGAGCAGCCAAUCAAAUUCAGAAAAGGAGCUUGUACCAUUGAUCCAGGUGGAUGGUCUACUCUGCAAGAGGAUCAGUCCAGGUGUGCAGUGUGUCAGCAGGUGCUGAGGAAUCCCGUCUCUAUCACCUGUGGACACAAGUUCUGCAGACAGUGUAUCACCAGAUACUGGGAGCAACCUGCUCCUUCAGGAGACUAUGACUGUCCUCAGUGUAGAAAGAGAUCCAGAACACUUCCUGUACUACAGCACCUGAGGGAACCCAAUGAUGCAAGAGGCUCUGAAAACAUGGAUGACAGCCUGCAGAGAGCUAUAAUAAACCACAAAGACAGUCUGAAAAGGAGGUAUGAAUGUGUGAUAGAAGGCAUGGAAAAAGCAGGGAAUCAAACUCCCCUCAACAGGAUUUACACAGAGCUCUACAUCACAGAAGGAGAGAGUGAAGGGGUUAACAAUGAACAUGAGGUGUGGCAGCUAGAGACCGCACCCAGGACACAAACCUCACAUGACACAGCAGUCCACUGCAAUGACAUAUUUAAACCCUUACUUGGCCAAGAGAGAAGCAUCAGAACUGUGCUGACGAAGGGUAUCUCUGGCAUCGGAAAAACAGUCUCUGUGCAGAAGUUCAUCCUAGACUGGGCUGAAGGGAAGGCAAACCAAGAUGUGGAUAUCAUAUUUGUGCUUCCUUUCCGGGAGCUGAACUUGAUUAAAGAUCGGCUGUACAGUCUUCUCAGACUUUUAAAUGACUUCCACACAGAACUAGACAUAGAUAAUGCAAAGAAACUCACUGCCUGUAAAGCUAUGUUCAUCUUGGAUGGUUUGGAUGAAAGCAGACUUUCAUUGGAUUUCCAGCACAUUGAAAGGGUGUCUGAUGUCACACAGGCAUCGUCUGUUGAUGUUCUGCUAACAAAUCUCAUCGAGGGAAAUCUGCUUCCCUCUGCUGUCCUUUGGAUAACUACUCGACCUGCAGCAGCCAAUCAGAUCCCUUCAGGGUGUGUUGACCAGGUGACAGAGGUACGAGGGUUCAAUGACCCACAGAAGGAGGAGUACUUCAGGAAGAGAUUCAGUGAUGAGGACCUGGCCAGCAGAAUCAUCUCACACAAAGACAUCAAGGAGCCUCCACAUCAUGUGCCACAUUCCAGUCUUCUGUUGGAUUUCUGCAACAGUCCUUGAACACAUGUUGAGGACAGACAAGAGGAGAGAGAUGCCCACGACUCUGACUGAGAUGUCCAUACACUUCCUGCUCAUUCAGACCAGCCUGAAGAACCAGAAGUAUCAUGGACGAGAUGAGAUGGGUCAAGAGGAGCUCAUGGAGUCAGAUAAGGACAUUCUUUUGAAGCUGGGGAAGCUGGCGUUUGAAAAUCUGGAGAAGGGUAAUCUCAUGUUCUAUGAAGAAGACCUGAAAGAGUAUGGCAUUGAUGUCAAAGAAGCCUCAGUGUACUCAGGAGUGUGCACACAAAUCGUUAAAGAAGAGUCUGUGUUAUUUCAGAGAGUGGUGUACUGCUUUAUUCAUCUGAGCAUUCAGGAGUUUCUCUCAGCUGUCUACAUUUACCAUUGUUACACAACCAAGAACAUGGAUGCACUGAAGCCCUUCCUCAAGAGAAAGUCUGGAGCUGUGUCUGAAGAGCUAACCUUGCAUGAGCUGCUGAAGAGUGCCGUGGAUGACGCCUUGGAGAGUAAGAAUGGACACCUGGACCUUUUUGUCCGCUUCCUUCAUGGCAUGUCACUGGAGUCCAAUCAGAAACUCUUACGACGUCUGGUGACACAGACAGAAUGCAGUCCAGAGAGCAUCCAGAAAACAAUCCGAUCCCUUAAGGUGAUGCAGAGGAAGAACAUCUCCCCUGAGAGGUGCAUCAAUCUCUUCCACUGUCUGAUAGAGAUGAAAGACCAUUCAGUACAGGAGGAAAUCCAAGGGUACUUGAGAUCAGAGGACAGAUCCAAAAACCUCUCCCAUACUCAGUGUUCAGCGCUGGCCUACAUGCUGCAGAUAUCAGAGGAGGUUCUGGAUGUGCUUGACCUGAAGGAAUACAAGACAUCAGAGGAGGGUCGUAGGAGACUGCUGCCAGCUGUGAGAGGCUGCAGGAAAGCUCUACUCACUGACUGUGAACUCACGGACACAUCCUGUGAAAUGUUGGUCCCAGCUCUCAGUUCAAACUCCUCACACAUGAGAGAGCUGGAUCUGAGUAACAAUGACCUGAAGGAUUCAGGAGUGAAGCUGCUCUCUGCUGGACUGGGGAAUCCCCACUGUAAACUGGAGACUCUGAGACUCACUGACUGUGAACUCACGGACACAUCCUGUGAAGUGUUGGCCUCAGCUCUCAGUUCAAACACCUCACACCUGAGAGAGCUGGAUCUGAGUAACAAUGACCUGAAGGAUUCAGGAGUGAAGCAUCUCUCUGCUGGACUGGGGAACCCAAACUGUAAACUGGAGACUCUGAGACUCGCUGGCUGUAAACUCACAGACACGUCCUGUGAAGUUUUGACCUCAGUUCUCAGCUCAAACUCCUCACACCUGAGAGAGCUAAAUCUGAGUAACAAUGACCUGAUGGAUUCAGGAGUGAAGCGACUCUCUGCUGGACUGGGGAAUCCCCACUGUAAACUGGAGACUCUGAGGUUGUCGCUCUGUGGAGUUGAAGAGGAAGGCUGUGCUUCUCUGGUCUCAGCUCUGAGGUCAAACCCCACACACCUGAGAGAGCUGGACCUGAGUAACAAUCGCCCAGGAGACUCAGGAGUCAGACUGCUCUCUGCUGGACUGGAGGAUCCACACUGGAGACUGGAGAAACUCAAUGUGGAACCUGGUGGAGUGGAAACAAUCAAACCUUGGCCUAGAAAAUAUGCCUGUGAUCUCACACUGGACCCAAAUACAGCAAACCAACAGCUCUCUCUGUCUGAGGACAACAGAAAGGCGACACGUAGGAGAGACAAGCAGCUGUAUCCUGAUUACCCAGAGAGAUUUGAGAUCUGGAAACAGGUGCUGUGUAGAGAGGGUCUGACUGGGCGCUGUUACUGGGAGGUAGAGUGGAGUGGGAGAGGGGCUUACAUAGCAGUGACAUAUAAAGGAAUCAGCAGGAAAGGAGUAGGUAAUGACUGUGUGAUUGGAUUAAAUGAGAAGUCCUGGAGUCUGCUCUGCUGUGACAACAGUUACACUGCAUGGCACAAUAAUAACUCGAAUACCAUAGCCGUCCCCUCUUCCAGCUCCCACAGAGUAGGAGUGUAUCUGGACUGGCCAGCCGGCACUCUGUCCUUCUACAGAGUCUCCUCUGACACACUGACCCAGCUGUACACAUUCCACACUACAUUCACUGAGCCCCUCUAUCCAGGGUUUAGGUUUUACUAUGACACCUCAGUGUCCCUGUGUCAGGUGUAGGGCUGACCCCAUUUAGUCGACUGGUCGAUAGGCUGUUGGUCAGCCAAGAUUUAUUUAGUCAAGCAGUGGCAAAUAUAUGUAAAAUGUUACGGCACGUGAGACAGCUGUUUGAUUCACACCUGUCUGCGUGGACUUAUCCAUUGUGGAUGCCGCAGGGAUGGAACACCAGUUUAUUUUAAUGUUUUAUUUCACCUUUAUUUAACCAGCUAGGCCAGUUGAGAACAAGUUCUCAUUUAGAACUGCGACCUGGCCAAGAUAAAGCAAAGCAGUGCGACAGAAACAACAACACAGAGUUACACAUAAACAAACGUACAGUCAAUAACAACUUCCCUGUAGCUCAGUUGGUAGAGCAUGGUGUUUGCAACGCCAGGGUUGUGGGUUCGAUUCCCACAGGGGGCCAGCACAAAAAAAAAAAUAAUCAAAAA